GGUCGCAAGUAUUCGCGGUUGACGACGUGGAUCGUCACGAAGUUUUUGGAACGUCAUACGUACAUACAUAUUAUAAUAUCGUACCUUCUUCGAGCAUAGUACGUAUAAUACCUGCAGCUAUAUUAUAUACGUAUAAUUUAGUAUAUAUACAUAUAAUAACACGUGUACCUAUAUAUGAUUGCGGAAUUCGUUUAAACGAGCGAAAUUCAAAGUUUUCAAAUGGGUAUGCGACUCGGGGGCUUUUGACUUUGCCAUUGCGAUAUAUAUACAAAGUGGCCCUUGCGAUAUUAUAAUAUAUUAUAUUAUCAACAACGAUAUAAUAACACCGUGACGCGCGUGUAUGGGAUCAUUACCGUGCCAGUAUUAAUUAAACAGCGUGAGCGUAAUACGGGCAAGGUGAUAAUGAUUAAUGACUAAUGAGAUGAUUCAUUAUACGUAUAUUAUAAUAUUAUUAUUAUUAUUAUUAUACUCACGGUUUACGUUAAAGGAUUUUAUAUACGGACACGAUUAUUAUAACGUCACAUAUACGCGAUCGCAGUCGUACAUAUUAAUAUUCCUGCAGUGUCGCAGCCACGUUGGGGGGGGGGGGUGUCCCGCGAAAUUUUUGUCGUAGUUAGGCCCGUAGUGCAGUUGUUAUAUUGUGUAUUGGUCGAAACGGAAUUAGAAUACAAUGUUCCGCAUUAUAUAAUAAACAAACGAGUUUUGUCGCAAAGGUCACGGAGAUAACGACGGAUCAAGCCAUAUCCUCUCGUCGUCGCGGCCGCAGUCGACGUUCCGCACUCGUCAAGACACGAUAUUGGAAUAAUAAUUGCUCGGCCUACCUCACGCGGUGCAUACGAGCAAUUUCUUAAUUCAAAACGGCCGUCAAUAUAUAAUACAUGUGCAAUCGUUCCACGUUGUCAUUUGCCACACUGAUCAACGAGCAGUCGUCAUCUCCACCGAGGCAUACAUACAUGGUUAUACCAAACCCACAUAUUAUCAAACAAAUGAUGAAAAUAAGAUGCAUUCACUCAUAAGACGACGUCCGCGGUUAUUGAAAACAUGUGGCAGGCGAAAAAAACAAAAACAAAAAUUUGACGUCCGUCGAACGGGAACGACGCUCAUACAGGACAACGUUCAAGUCAAGCCGUUAAGCUUCUCCGCGAUAAGAAAUCAAGCAAAUAUGUGCAGUUAAAAAUCAUAGUUGAAAAUUAAAUACAUAGACUUUUCGUCUCCUGAAAAUAUUAUGAUAAAACAGGCGAGUCCCAGUUGUAUUUUAAUCGAGGACAUUGAUCUUCCUGUAUUUUAAAUUAUUAUCCCGAGAAUAAUGAUUAAAUACGAAUGGCGGUCUGCAUCACAAAAUUAGACAAGAUAUUACUUUUAAUGUUAACCUAAACCGAUACUUAAAUUUAUAUUGUUAUACAACAUAGCAAAACCGUAGUGGAAGAUAGUGUAUAUGAAUUGGUAUGAUUAACUAUAUUAUAUAACUCCAAAC